rnacentral:lncRNA from 1 species
AAUUUGUAAACGAGUUCUUUGAAAGUGAAUUUGGAGUUGAGGGGACGUUGUCGGCUAGAAUUUCCUUACCAGCACUUGCCACCUUGAUGGUGAGAGACUUGAUAUUAACGGCCAGGACCUCUUUUUGAGGUUCUGCAGACUGUCUUGCUUCUUCGUCCAUGUUUGACUAAUUAAUGAGGGCACAAAACUUGCUUUUGGUGGUUUUCGAAGUUGCGAAGGUUUUCAGGAAGGCAAGAAAAUGCUUGAUACUGGGAGCAGAUGAAGUCCCAUACCAUAUAUUCCAGAAGCGUUC